rnacentral:lncRNA from 1 species
CAAAAAAACUCUUCCUAAAAUGUUUCUAUUGCUGUUGCUGAUCUAUUUUUAUACUGUACUCUGUAUCUUCCUAUCAAGGACCUGCCCUCUCAUCAAAACCUAGGAUAAAGAUCACCUACUCUCUGACAUCUCUCCUGAGUUCACCUGCCCUCAUAAUUCUCUGGGCAUUUUUUUGGUGUUGUUUUUUGGUUUUGUUUCUGUUUUGAGACGAGUCUUGCUCUGUUGCCCAGGCUGGAAUGCAGUGGCACAAUCUCAGCUCACUGCAACCUCCACCUCCCAGGUGCAAGCGAUUCUCCUGCCUCAGCCUCCCAAGUAGCUGCGAUUACAGAUUAGAGAUGUCUUCUUUUAGGAGAGACAGGGUUUCGCCAUGUUGGCCAGGCUGAUCUCAAACUCCUGGCCUCAAGUGAUCCUCCCACCUUGGCCUCCCAAAGUGCUGGGAUUAUAGGCGUGAGCCACCGCGUCUGGCCUUUCUGUGGGCAUUUCUUAUCUCCCCUUCCAGAUUGGACGCUGCUUGAGAGCAAGAACCAAAUCCAGCAGCCUCUAUUCCCACCUAAGCCUUGCAUGGGGCCUCAUAAAUCGCAACUGCUUAUUGAAUAUCUGUUGGAUAAAGUUCUAGCCCUCGCUUUCCAAGAUUAAUGUCAUCACUGCAGGAAACUGUUAAAAUAAAAACAGCCAAAAUGUGUAAAAAUUUUCAAGAAACAUUUCCAUUUUUAGCAGACUGUCAGAACUCACCCCCAAUCCCGCCUUUUUCUUUGUUUCUAAUUCUGAAUU